CCGAUGGCGACCGGCGCACGGGUGAGUAACACGUAUCCAACCUGCCGAUAACUCGGGGAUAGCCUUUACGAAAGAAAGAUUAAUAUCCGAUAGGAUAUCAAGGUCGCAUGAUCUUGAUAUUAAAGAAUUUCGGUUAUCGAUGGGGAUGCGUUCCAUUAGUUAGUUGGCGGGGUAACGGCCCACCAAGACGACGAUGGAUAGGGGUUCUGAGAGGAAGGUCCCCCACAUUGGAACUGAGACACGGUCCAAACUCCUACGGAAGGCAGCAG
rnacentral:rRNA from 1 species